rnacentral:lncRNA from 1 species
GAAUCCCUGUGAGUCUGACGGCCACGGCCUCACCCAGGCCGUUCUUCCCUGCAGCAUCCCCAGGCCCCCUGCGGGCAGGGACGGAGGGCUGACUCCGCUCCCGAGAGCCAGGAGGCUACAGGUUCUGGUCUUGGGAUUGCUGCCCAUCCUGAGGGUGAAGAGAAGCCCCUGGACAGAGGAUUGGAACCUUGUUCCCAGCAGGCUCAGACACCAGUGAGCAAUAGGCGUGCUGGAGCUCUGGGUGCUGGCCACCAACUUCAGAGACUAUGCCAUCAUCUUCACUCAGCUGGAGUUCGGGGACGAGCCCUUCAACACCGUGGAGCUGUACAGUCUGACGGAGACAGCCAGCCAGGAGGCCAUGGGGCUCUUCACCAAGUGGAGCAGGAGCCUGGGCUUCCUGUCACAGUAGCAGGCCCAGCUGCAGAAGGACCUCACCUGUGCUCACAAGAUCCUUCUGUGAGUGCUGCGUCCCCAGUAGGGAUGGCGCCCACAGGGUCCUGUGACCUCGGCCAGUGUCCACCCACCUCGCUC